UACGUAGGGGGCAAGCGUUGUCCGGAUUUAUUGGGCGUAAAGAGCGUGUAGGCGGCCGUACAGGUCAGCUGUGAAAACUCGAGGCUCAACCUCGAGACGUCGGUUGAAACCGUACGGCUAGAGUCCGGAAGAGGAGAGUGGAAUUCCCGGUGUAGCGGUGAAAUGCGCAGAUAUCGGGAAGAACGCCCGUGGCGAAGGCGGCUCUCUGGGACGGUACUGACGCUGAGACGCGAAAGCGUGGGGAGCGAACAGG
rnacentral:rRNA from 1 species